rnacentral:rRNA from 1 species
CAGCAGCCGCGGUAAUACAGAGGGUGCAAGCGUUAAUCGGAAUUACUGGGCGUAAAGCGUGCGUAGACGGUUACAUAAGUCGGGUGUGAAAGCCCCGGGCUCAACCUGGGAAUUGCAUUCGAGACUGCGUAGCUAGGGCGCGGAAGAGGGAAGCGGAAUUUCCGGUGUAGCGGUGAAAUGCGUAGAUAUCGGAAGGAACACCAGUGGCGAAAGCGGCUUCCUGGUCCAGCACCGACGUUCAGGCACGAAAGCGUGGGGAGCAAACAGGAUUAGAUACCCUGGUAGUCCACGCCAUAAACGAUGAGAACUAGACGUUGAAGGGGUAAGCUCUCUCCAGUGUCGUAGCUAACGCGCUAAGUUCUCCGCCUGGGGAGUACGGCCGCAAGGUUGAAACUCAAAGAAAUUGACGG